UACGUAGGGUGCAAGCGUUAAUCGGAAUUACUGGGCGUAAAGGGCGCGUAGGCGGCUUGACAAGUCACUUGUGAAAUCUCCGGGCUUAACUCGGAACGGCCAAGUGAAACUGUCAUGCUAGAGUGCAGAAGGGGCAAUCGGAAUUCUUGGUGUAGCGGUGAAAUGCGUAGAUAUCGGGAGGAACACCGGUGGCGAAGGCGGUUCUCUGGGCCUUACCUGACGCUGAGGAGCGAAAGCGUGGGGAGCGAACAGG
rnacentral:rRNA from 1 species